GAUGAACGCUAGCUACAGGCUUAACACAUGCAAGUCGCGGGGCAGCAUGGGGGUUGCUUGCAACCCCCGAUGGCGACCGGCGCACGGGUGAGUAACGCGUAUCCAACCUGCCCUUCACCACGGGAUAACCCGGCGAAAGUCGGACUAAUACCGUAUGUUGUCCAUUGACGGCAUCCGAUUUGGACGAAAGGUUUGGCGGUGAAGGAUGGGGAUGCGUCCGAUUAGCCAGACGGCGGGGUAACGGCCCACCGUGGCUACGAUCGGUAGGGGUUCUGAGAGGAAGGUCCCCCACACUGGAACUGAGACACGGUCCAGACUCCUACGGGAGGCAGCAGUGAGGAAUAUUGGUCAAUGGGCGUAAGCCUGAACCAGCCAAGUAGCGUGCAGGAUGACGGCCCUAUGGGUUGUAAACUGCUUUUAUGCGGGGAUAAAGUGGCCCACGUGUGGGCUUUUGCAGGUACCGCAUGAAUAAGGACCGGCUAAUUCCGUGCCAGCAGCCGCGGUAAUACGGAAGGUCCGGGCGUUAUCCGGAUUUAUUGGGUUUAAAGGGAGCGUAGGCCGCGCCUUAAGCGUGUUGUGAAAUCCGGGUGCUCAACAUCCGGCUUGCAGCGCGAACUGGGGCGCUUGAGUGCGCUGAAAGUAGGCGGAAUUCGUGGUGUAGCGGUGAAAUGCUUAGAUAUCACGAGGAACUCCGAUUGCGAAGGCAGCCUACUGUAGCGCUACUGACGCUGAUGCUCGAAAGCGUGGGUAUCGAACAGG
rnacentral:rRNA from 1 species